UUUUAUGAGAGUUUGAUCCUGGCUCAGGACGAACGCUGGCGGCGUGCCUAAUACAUGCAAGUCGAACGCUUCUUUUUCCACCGGAGCUUGCUCCACCGGAAAAAGAAGAGUGGCGAACGGGUGAGUAACACGUGGGUAACCUGCCCAUCAGAAGGGGAUAACACUUGGAAACAGGUGCUAAUACCGUAUAACAAUCAAAACCGCAUGGUUUUGAUUUGAAAG
rnacentral:rRNA from 1 species